AAAAAGAGUCUACAUUGAAAUCUGCUGAGCGGGAACUUUUAAAGGUGGACACACCCAAAGAUCACAAAAGAGCCAGAAAACCCAAGAUGACAGUUCAACUCCCACUGAAGACAAAAACUGGGAAAUGCCAAGAAUGAUGCUGUUGUAAACCACCAUGUAGGGACCAAGAUAUCAGUUCUAAGAAAAUCGAUCAAAACAAGAAUCUGUGAGUCAAGGCACCAAGUAAAGCAAAAAAACAAGAUGGACUGUUAAAUAAGAUAAUAGACUGGAUAUUUGGAGCCUUUAUAUCAUGUUUUCUUCCCUUGUUGUGGAUCCUGUUUAAAUGAGUGAUUAGCUUGUUUAAAGUUCACUUACAGAGAGUUCUAAAUCUGUCCAGUAGUUGAACGAGUGGCUGAAGGCCAAAUAAGUCAUUAGUUUGACAAGAUGGUUUUGAAGUGCUGUAUUUUAGUCACUUAGAUGGAAAAUAGGUUUGUAUCAAUAAAGUUUUCUUGAUUGCUUA